rnacentral:rRNA from 1 species
UACGUAGGGGGCAAGCGUUGUCCGGAAUCAUUGGGCGUAAAGCGCGUGUAGGCGGCUUGGUAAGUCCGCUGUGAAAGUCAAGGGCUCAACCCUUGAAUGCCGGUGGAUACUGCAGGGCUAGAGUCCGGAAGAGGCGAGUGGAAUUCCUGGUGUAGCGGUGGAAUGCGCAGAUAUCAGGAGGAACACCGAUGGCGAAGGCAGGUCUCUGGGCCACUACUGACGCUGAGAAGCGAAAGCAUGGGGAGCAAACAGG